AUAUUGUGUGAGAGAGAAGGUUAGCAUUCACCUUCAUAAGAAUGGAAAAAGGCCCUCAGCCCUGAAACCAUACAGUUUGAAAUACAUACAAUUAAGGCAUUUUCCCCUAGCUGUGUCACCUCACUAUCAUUUU
rnacentral:ncRNA from 1 species